CCUAGAGUUUGUGGACUUCGGUCUGCUACCUCUUACCCAUGUCUUUUGAGUACCUUCGUUUCCUCGGCGGGUCCGCCGCCGGUUGGACAACAUUCAAACCCUUUGCAGUUGCAAUCAGCGUCUGAAAAAAACUUAAUAGUUA
rnacentral:misc_RNA from 1 species